AAUAUUGGACAAUGGGGGAAACCCUGAUGCAGCAACGCCGCGUGAGCGAUGAAGGCUUUCGGGUCGUAAAGCCCUGUCCUAAGGGAAGAUAAUGACGGUACCUUAGGAGGAAGCCCCGGCUAACUACGUGCCAGAAGCCGCGGUAAUACGUAGGGGGCAAGCGUUAUCCGGAAUCAUUGGGCGUAAAGGGUGCUUAGGCGGCCAUAUGGGUCAGAGGUUAAAGGCUACGGCUAAACCGUAGUAAGCCUUUGAAACUGUAGGGCUUGAGGGCAGGAGAGGAGAGUGGAAUUCCUAGUGUAGCGGUGAAAUGCGUAGAUAUUAGGAGGAACACCAGUGGCGAAGGCGACUCUCUGGACUGCAACUGACGCUGAGGCACGAAAGCGUGGGUAGCGAACA
rnacentral:rRNA from 1 species